AGUCGUCAAUUUUUAUAUACCAGUACGAGCUCUUAAAUGUGGUGUAUUUUGUGGAGCCAUUCAGUUCUAUUAGUUUGUGCUCAGUUUAUCUGGACAAUACUUCUAGACUAUUAUGCUGACUUAAUGAAACAAUAGUACAAUUCCACAUGGUAUAACAUAUCGGUAAAAAUUCAAAAAAUGUUUUACGUGACGCAAAUAAGGGAGAACAAGCCAUGUGUCUCAACAGCAGAUGGAUUCUACGAAAUGAAUAUGGAAAACUUUGGAAUAUUAUGUAUUUCUAUAAUGCUGUACUUGUAUGUGUAUACCGUAAUUGUAUAUUAUCUACUUUCCGAUUAUUUUAAAUUUUAAGACCUUCAAAACGUGCAUGUCGUCUUUCACAAUGAUAACGUCGGCAGAAUAAUGCUUCCACGUCAGCUGUGGGAAAUAUGGUAGCAUAGUCAUUAUGUUCUGACAUUGAAUUUGGACUAAGCAAGAAUGCAGAUAAUAGUAAAAGUAACUGACAUAUAUCAUUAAUUUUGUAUUAUUUAAAUCACCCUAUUGAAUAUGCAAACAAGAAUUAUUGUGUAAUAAAAUUACAUGUCUAAAUUAACGAUUAACUACUAUUAGUACUUACUAGAUUUCUUCCCCAUAUAUAUAUUAUUCUUCUAUUACAUCCACACAGUAAGUUUCAUCUUCGUCUUAUAAAAUAAGGAGUAGAAUAAAGCGACCAUAAUUUGAGUUGAAAUUAUGAUACCUGCAUCUUGCACAAUAAGUUACUGACACGAUUAUGUACUUCUCAAAUGAAAUGAUUUUGUCGAAAAUGCAAAUAAGAUUAUAAACCAUCAUUUGUCAUA